rnacentral:rRNA from 1 species
AGGACGAACGCUGGCGGCGUGCUUAACACAUGCAAGUCGAGCGGAAAGGCCCUUCGGGGUACUCGAGCGGCGAACGGGUGAGUAACACGUGAGUAAUCUGCCCCUAGCUCUGGGAUAGCUCCGGGAAACCGGGAUUAAUACCAGAUACGACCACUUUAGACAUCUGUUGUGGUGGAAAGAAUUUUGGCUAGGGAUGAGCUCGCGGCCUAUCAGCUUGUUGGUGAGGUAACGGCUCACCAAGGCGACGACGGGUAGCCGGCCUGAGAGGGCGACCGGCCACACUGGGACUGAGACACGGCCCAGACUCCUACGGGAGGCAGCAGUGGGGAAUAUUGCGCAAUGGGCGAAAGCCUGACGCAGCGACGCCGCGUGGGGGAUGAAGGCCUCGGGUUGUAAACCCUUUCAGCAGGGACGAAGCGAAAGUGACGGUACCUGCAGAAGAAGCGCCGGCUAACUACGUGCCAGCAGCCGC